AUCCAACUGACGAGUGCCAGAUGGGACGAAACGCGCGUCCUGGAU
rnacentral:hammerhead_ribozyme from 1 species